rnacentral:rRNA from 1 species
GACGAACGCUGGCGGCGCGCCUAACACAUGCCAGUCGAACGGAGCUGCGAGAAGCUUGCUUUUCUUAGCUUAGUGGCGAACGGGUGAGUAACGCGUGAGUAACCUGCCCUGGAGUGGGGGACAACAGUUGGAAACGACUGCUAAUACCGCAUAAGCCCACGAUCCGGCAUCGGAUUGAGGGAAAAGGAUUUAUUCGCUUCAGGAUGGACUCGCGUCCAAUUAGCUAGUUGGUGAGGUAACGGCCCACCAAGGCGACGAUUGGUAGCCGGACUGAGAGGUUGAACGGCCACAUUGGAGCUGAGGCACGGCCCAGACUCCUACGGGAGGCAGCAGUGGGGGAUAUUGCACGAUGGGGGAAACCCUGAUGCAGCGACGCCGCGUGGAGGAAGAAGGUUUUCGGAUUGUAAACUCCUGUCGUUAGGGACGAUAAUGACGGUACCUAACAAGAAAGCACCGGCUAACUACGUG